UUUGACCGUGCGAAGGUAGCAUUUUCAUUAGUCUUUUAAUUGGAGGCUGGAAUGAACGGUCUGAUGAGGGACACGCUGUCUUUAAAAUUUUAGUUAAUUUAACUUUUGAGUGAAAAGGCUCAAAUUUAUUAGUGGGACGAUAAGACCCUAUAAAACUUUAUAUAUUAAUUUUGAGAUUUUUGUAUUAUAUUUAAAAUUAUUUUUUGGUUAGUGUAUUUCGUUGGGGAGAUGAUUAUAUAAUAGUAACUGUCUUUUUAAAUUAAUAGUGAUAACUAGAAUUUGAUCCUUAGAAUUGAGAUUAAAAGUUUAAGUUACUUUAGGGAUAACAGCGUAAUUAUUUUUGAGAGUCCUUAUCGACAAUAUUAGUUGCGACCUCGAUGUUGAAUUAAAUUUACUUGUAGGUGCAGAAGCUUACGGAGUUGGUCUGUUCGACCUUUAAAUUUUU
rnacentral:rRNA from 1 species